AGUGAACGCUGGCGGUAGGCCUAACACAUGCAAGUCGAACGGCAGCACAGUAAGAGCUUGCUCUUACGGGUGGCGAGUGGCGGACGGGUGAGGAAUACAUCGGAAUCUACUUUUUCGUGGGGGAUAACGUAGGGAAACUUACGCUAAUACCGCAUACGACCUACGGGUGAAAGCAGGGGAUCUUCGGACCUUGCGCGAUUGAAUGAGCCGAUGUCGGAUUAGCUAGUUGGCGGGGUAAAGGCCCACCAAGGCGACGAUCCGUAGCUGGUCUGAGAGGAUGAUCAGCCACACUGGAACUGAGACACGGUCCAGACUCCUACGGGAGGCCGCAGUGGGGAAUAUUGGACAAUGGGCGCAAGCCUGAUCCAGCCAUACCGCGUGGGUGAAGGAGGCCUUCGGGUUGUAAAGCCCUUUUGUUGGGAAAGAAAAGCAGCAGGUUAAUACCCCGCUGUUCUGACGGUACCCAAAGAAUAAGCACCGGCUAACUUCGUG
rnacentral:rRNA from 1 species